GAUGAACGCUAGCUACAGGCUUAACACAUGCAAGUCGAGGGACCGGCGCACGGGUGAGUAACACGUAUCCAACCUGCCCUUUACUCGGGGAUAGCCUUUCGAAAGAAAGAUUAAUACCCGAUGUAAAGGAUGGGGAUGGGUUCCAUUAGGUUGUUGGUGAGGUAACGGCUCACCAAGGCUUAGAUGGGUAGGGGUUCAGAGAGGAAGGACGCCGUCAUUGGAACAAAGGCACGGCCCAAACUCGUAGGGAAGGAAGAAGUGAAGAAUAUUGGUCAAUACGAGCUAGCCGGAACCAGCCAAGUAGCGAGAAGGAUGAAGGCUUAUGGAUCGUAAAAUUCUUGUAUAUAAGAAUAUGUAUUAUAUGAAUAAGGACCGGCUAACUCCGUGCAAGCCGCCGCGUUAAGAC
rnacentral:rRNA from 1 species